UACGUAGGGGGCAAGCGUUGUCCGGAUUUAUUGGGCGUAAAGAGCGUGUAGGCGGCCAGGUAGGUCUGCUGUGAAAACUCGAGGCUUAACCUCGAGCUGUCGGCGGAAACCAUCUGGCUAGAGUCCGGGAGAGGAGAAUGGAAUUCCCGGUGUAGCGGUGAAAUGCGUAGAUAUCGGAAGGAACAUCAGUGGCGAAAGCGGCUUCCUGGACCAGCACCGACGUUCAGGCACGAAAGCGUGGGGAGCAAACAGG
rnacentral:rRNA from 1 species